AGGCAGACCAGGUAUCAAGCCACUGCAAUAAUCUAACAGAGAAGGUGAUGGCUUGCAUCAGGUAGUAGCUAGUGGAUAUGGUAAGAAGUGGUUCCAAUUCUCUAUAUAUUCUGAAGGCAGGGCCCCUAGGAUUUGCUGAUGGAUUAGAUGUGGUACAUGAGAAAAAGGGAUGUAGGAUGACACAAAGGUUCUAUCCGAUGAGUUUUCUCUUUCCUGAUAUAGGCCUUGCCCCUUCCUGUUAGACUUUCUUGUUCUUCCUGCCUGGAAUAUUGACAAAGGGCUGGAGAUGGAUCUACAAGGACAAGAAUGAGGACAAAUGCCAACAUACCAAGAAUAUCAGAGUGGAAAGACAGAAAUAACCUGGCUUCUGAAGUUGGUUCUAUCUGUGGAUACACACAGCUGACUGUAUCAGAAAAGCCAUCAGACCCUAAGUAUGAUGAAAAUGAAGGGGGCAGAAGACAAACUGGAUUACCACACCAUGAUGGGUCAAUCUGAAAGUCAAAUUAAUGCCAAGAUUGUGGUGAGGGGAAUAUAAUUUCACUUGAUAUUGAUUAGAUUUGGAGGGGGCAGGCUGGUCACUAAAACAGAUCCAACACAAAGCUGUCAUCUUAGCCAGCUUAACUUAAUUCUAGCAUCUUUAAGCCUGAUGUUUUGAGUGUUGGAAAAGAACAAACUGGUUAUCCCUUACACUAUAUUCCCUAAUACUAGUUGAGGAGUGACCUCUCUAAAAGAUCAAGAGCAAAAAGUCUUUUUAAAAGAUUCUAGACAAUGUAGGAUACUCUUUGCCAUAAGAGCCAAAGCCAACAGAAAUAAUCCUUCCACCCUUGGGAAAAGAGAUAAUGGCAAGACUUCUCGUUAAUAAUCUAGCUAAAUGAUAGAACUUAAAAGAUCUUUGACUAGCUGAGUGUUGUGGCAUGUGUAGUCCCAGCUACUUGGGAGGCUGAGGUGGGAAGAUCAGUAGAGCCCAGCAGUUCAAGGCUGCAGUGAGCUAUGACCAUGCCACUGCACUCCAGUCUGGGUGACAGAGCGAAACCUUGUCCCUUAAAAAAAAAAAAAAUCUAAGACUGAUUACUAAACCAUUGGGAACAGGAAGUUCUGGGUUCAAUGAAUUUCUAUAUAUUUUUUCAUACUGGACACAUGAAAGACAUUAAACAAAACACACUAUUUACUAGUUUAGCCGUCUCAGUGUCAACUUUUCAACAUUUUGAUGAAAAUUUUGAUCAUACUAAUAAAAGAAACCAUAUGGUAUUGAAUAUUUUCAGCAUCUAAGAAGGUAAAUCUCAGAGUCAAAUCCUCAGACAAACAUAAAUUAAGAUUUAUGGCUAGCAUGAUAUAUGAGCUACAUGAUUUGCCAUAAAAUAGAGAAGAAGGAGUCAGUCACACAUCAUACUUUUGAGUGAAAAGCAAUCUCACAACUAUUAAGAGAUUCAUGAUGUGCCUGUCACACAGAUGCUAUAGACAGCCACACAAAUCCUGUGAAUGUUUUGUCCCCAGAUCAAGGGACUUAUCUCAACUAUACAGUGACUAAUUCAACCCCUCUCAGAGGAAUGAACUUUUCCAAUAAAAGAAAAAUAAAUGGAAGUGCCAGCCACUUUAAAUCAAGCACUUAACUAACGUGUUGCUAUUUAAAUUGUAGAUAAAUAUUCUGGCCUAAGUUCAAGGGAGGCAUGAAUGCAAACGUGGGUCAUAAUGAAUGAGCUCUAUUUAGAAAAUGGCUUUAAGGUAUACAUUUACUUUUCAAGUUCCCAAAAAAAUAAUCUUCUGAUUUUAUUAGAACGGAGCUUGCAUACUGUUUGGAAGUUACCAGAAAAUCAACUGUGCAUUGUAAUUUCAAGUGAUAUAUGUUCUUUUCACAGAUUUCAAAAUCCCCAAAACACUGAAUUCUUGGAUACUAUCACAACCUUGGGGUAUUCCCCAGACUCUAAGACUUAAAAAAAAAAUCCAAAAAGGAAUGGUAUCCUCAGAAAUAAUGGGCUUCCAGAAGCUUGGCUGUAGUGAAAGCAGCCAGCAGGGUAUAUGAAACUCCACUCUUGCUGUUGCAGCGGAGCCUGCCAAGUCUACCAGUAGGCCAAAUUAAGGCUGGUAAAGUUACAAACACGUUUUCCUUUUCAAAUGGAUUAGGAAGCUCCAAAAUGUAUUCAUCUUAGAGUGUGAGUAACAUCAAAGCUAUGGGUGAUGCUACUAAAGAGAAACAAAGACUUCAAAAACAAUAUUGCUACAGUCCCCUCCAGUACCCCCAAACUGGAAAUCUUUAUUUAUGUAAUGCCUUUUGAUUUAAUGAGUGACCUGCAGUCCUUUCUCCAAGAUAAAAGUAUAAUCUGCUGAUUAGCUACUCUUCUAGAAUAGAUUAUUGCUCAUCAAGGUUCUGUUUCUUUGCCUCACUGGUUAAAAGACAAUUUUACUAAGGAUGAC
rnacentral:lncRNA from 10 species